AACCGUAUGCGUACAAGCAGUGGGAGCCUACUUGUUAGGUGACUGCGUACCUUUUGUAUAAUGGGUCAGCGACUUAUAUUCAGUGGCAAGCUUAACCGUAUAGGGUAGGCGUAGCGAAAGCGAGUCUUAAUAGGGCGUUUAGUCGCUGGGUAUAGACCCGAAACCGGGCGAUCUAUCCAUGAGCAGGUUGAAGGUUAGGUAACACUGACUGGAGGACCGAACCCACUCCCGUUGAAAAGGUAGGGGAUGACUUGUGGAUCGGAGUGAAAGGCUAAUCAAGCUCGGAGAUAGCUGGUUCUCCUCGAAAGCUAUUUAGGUAGCGCCUCAUGUAUCACUCUGGGGGGUAGAGCACUGUUUCGGCUAGGGGGUCAUCCCGACUUACCAAACCGAUGCAAACUCCGAAUACCCAGAAGUGCCGAGCAUGGGAGACACACGGCGGGUGCUAACGUCCGUCGUGAAAAGGGAAACAACCCAGACCGCCAGCUAAGGUCCCAAAGUUGUGGUUAAGUGGUAAACGAUGUGGGAAGGCUUAGACAGCUAGGAGGUUGGCUUAGAAGCAGCCAUCCUUUAAAGAAAGCGUAAUAGCUCACUAGUCGAGUCGGCCUGCGCGGAAGAUGUAACGGGGCUCAAACCACACACCGAAGCUGCGGGUGUCACGUAAGUGACGCGGUAGAGGAGCGUUCUGUAAGCCUGUGAAGGUGAGUUGAGAAGCUUGCUGGAGGUAUCAGAAGUGCGAAUGCUGACAUGAGUAACGACAAUGGGUGUGAAAAACACCCACGCCGAAAGACCAAGGGUUCCUGCGCAACGUUAAUCGACGCAGGGUUAGUCGGUUCCUAAGGCGAGGCUGAAAAGCGUAGUCGAUGGGAAACAGGUUAAUAUUCCUGUACUUCUGGUUACUGCGAUGGAGGGACGGAGAAGGCUAGGCCAGCUUGGCGUUGGUUGUCCAAGUUUAAGGUGGUAGGCUGAAAUCUUAGGUAAAUCCGGGGUUUCAAGGCCGAGAGCUGAUGACGAGUCGUCUUUUAGAUGACGAAGUGGUUGAUGCCAUGCUUCCAAGAAAAGCUUCUAAGCUUCAGGUAACCAGGAACCGUACCCCAAACCGACACAGGUGGUCGGGUAGAGAAUACCAAGGCGCUUGAGAGAACUCGGGUGAAGGAACUAGGCAAAAUGGCACCGUAACUUCGGGAGAAGGUGCGCCGGCUAGGGUGAAGGAUUUACUCCGUAAGCUCUGGCUGGUCGAAGAUACCAGGCCGCUGCGACUGUUUAUUAAAAACACAGCACUCUGCAAACACGAAAGUGGACGUAUAGGGUGUGACGCCUGCCCGGUGCCGGAAGGUUAAUUGAUGGGGUUAGCGCAAGCGAAGCUCUUGAUCGAAGCCCCGGUAAACGGCGGCCGUAACUAUAACGGUCCUAAGGUAGCGAAAUUCCUUGUCGGGUAAGUUCCGACCUGCACGAAUGGCGUAACGAUGGCGGCGCUGUCUCCACCCGAGACUCAGUGAAAUUGAAAUCGCUGUGAAGAUGCAGUGUAUCCGCGGCUAGACGGAAAGACCCCGUGAACCUUUACUGUAGCUUUGCACUGGACUUUGAGCCUGCUUGUGUAGGAUAGGUGGGAGGCUUUGAAGCGUGGACGCCAGUUCGCGUGGAGCCAUCCUUGAAAUACCACCCUGGCAUGCUUGAGGUUCUAACUCUGGUCCGUGAUCCGGAUCGAGGACAGUGUAUGGUGGGCAGUUUGACUGGGGCGGUCUCCUCCUAAAGAGUAACGGAGGAGUACAAAGGUGCGCUCAGACCGGUCGGAAAUCGGUCGCAGAGUAUAAAGGCAAAAGCGCGCUUGACUGCGAGACAGACACGUCGAGCAGGUACGAAAGUAGGUCUUAGUGAUCCGGUGGUUCUGUAUGGAAGGGCCAUCGCUCAACGGAUAAAAGGUACUCCGGGGAUAACAGGCUGAUACCGCCCAAGAGUUCAUAUCGACGGCGGUGUUUGGCACCUCGAUGUCGGCUCAUCACAUCCUGGGGCUGAAGCCGGUCCCAAGGGUAUGGCUGUUCGCCAUUUAAAGUGGUACGCGAGCUGGGUUUAGAACGUCGUGAGACAGUUCGGUCUCUAUCUGCCGUGGACGUUUGAGAUUUGAGAGGGGCUGCUCCUAGUACGAGAGGACCGGAGUGGACGAACCUCUGGUGUUCCGGUUGUCACGCCAGUGGCAUUGCCGGGUAGCUAUGUUCGGAAAAGAUAACCGCUGAAAGCAUCUAAGCGGGAAACUUGCCUCAAGAUGAGAUCUCACUGGGAACUUGAUUCCCCUGAAGGGCCGUCGAAGACUACGACGUUGAUAGGCUGGGUGUGUAAGCGUUGUGAGGCGUUGAGCUAACCAGUACUAAUUGCCCGUGAGGCUUGACCAU
rnacentral:rRNA from 1 species